ACCAGCUACACACCUUCAUCUUCAAGUAUCAAAUUAGCUCGACAAUGGUUGUUGAUCCUCCAACCACGAGCUCUGUUGCUGUAACGAUGAUCGAUACAGGUAAUCCUCUCUAUAUUCACCCGUCUGAUAGCCCUAGUUUCACUUUAGCCCCCACUCCCUUUGAUGGUACUGGUUAUUGCUCAUGGAAGAGAAGUGUUUUGAGAUCACUUUCUGUGAAAAAUAAAUUGGGUUUCGUUACUGGUGAAUACCCAAAACCUGAUACUCCAUCUACGACGGUUCGUCAGUGGCAAAGAUGUGACAAUAUGGUCACCUCAUGAAUUUUGAAUUCCCUUUCAAAGGAAAUCGCAGACAGUGUUGAAUAUGUCGCCAACUCGGAGGAACUUUGGAAAGAACUGCAGGACCGAUAUGAUCUAACCAAUGGAGCGAAAUUGCAUCAAAUUCAGAAAGAGAUAAAUGAUUUAAGUCAAGGUGCCUUGGACAUUACUGGUUACUACACCAGAAUGAAGAAAUUGUGGGAAGAACUCAGUACCUUAGCAGCUAAUCACAUAUGCAACUGUCGAUGCACAUGUGGUGCCAAAGAUAUCAUGUAUAAGGCUGAACAGGACAGGCGCUUGAUCCAAUUUCUCAUGGGGCUAAACGAGGUUUACACAAUAAUGAGAGGAAGCAUUCUCAUGAUGACUCAUCUACCCUCCAUGGGACAAGCAUUUGCAUUUCUUGUGCAGGAAGAAAAACAAAGGGAAAUCAGACCACAACCAGAUGUUUGUUGAAUCUGCUUCUGUAGCUGUAAGUACUUCAGGCACUAAGACCUUCAAAACGAACUACACAUCCAACACCAACACUAAUGAAGCCAGCUCUAGUAGGUCUAGACUCUUUUGUGAGUACUGUAAGAGAUCGGGACACAUAAAAGACAAGUGUUACAGACUACAUGGAUACCCUUCUCAGCCAAAUCAAGGACAAGGUCAGAUCUCACAGAACAAUUCAUACAACCAGAGGAACUAUGGAUACAAUCCACCUACAAACAAUCAAAAGAACACAAUUAAUGGCUACAACAACAGGUUUAACAAGGGGAAAUGAAUAGCUGCAAAUACACAUUCUGAUAUGAAUCUUAUCAAGAGUGAGGAACCACCAUAUGAGAAUCAUCAGGGAACACAACUGUCCAAGGAACAAUAUGAUCAACUGAUGAACAUGCUGCAACACUUCAAUAAUUCUGAUCCACGCAGUGACACUCAAACUAGUGGAGCUGCAAACUUUGCAGGUACUAUUGCUUGCUCAUCUUCUGUGAAUUUUGAUAAACUGUCUUGUGGAUGUUUCAAAGAAAAGGCUGACUUAUGGAUCCUAGACUCAGGAGCAUCUCAUCAUAUGACUUUCAAUAGACAACACCUCACUAAUAUCCUACAAUUACCUUACCAUUUACUAGUGAAACUACCAAAUGGUUACAAUGUGAAGGUGACAAAAGUAGGCAAUGUGGUAUUAUCAUCUAAGAUCACUCUAUAUAAG
rnacentral:lncRNA from 1 species